CUGGCUCAGGACGAACGCUGGCGGCGUGCCUAACACAUGCAAGUCGAGCGGGGACAUGCGACGGACCUGAAGUUUCGGAUGGAAGGGAAGAUGUAUGUUCUAGCGGCGGACGGGUGAGUAACGCGUGAGCAAUCUGUCCUUCACAGGGGGAUAACACAGCGAAAGUUGUACUAAUACCGCAUAAGACCACGAUACGGCAUCGUAAUGGGGUCAAAGGAGCAAUCCGGUGAAGGGUGAGCUCGCGUCCGAUUAGAUAGUUGGUGAGGUAACGGCCCACCAAGUCAACGAUCGGUAGCCGACCUGAGAGGGUGAUCGGCCACAUUGGGACUGAGACACGGCCCAAACUCCUACGGGAGGCAGCAGUGGGGAAUAUUGGGCCAAUGGGGGAAACCCUGACCCAGCAACGCCGCGUGAGGGAAGAAGGUUUUCGGAUCGUAAACCUCUGUCCCAGGUGAAGAGAAAGAGACGGUAACCUGGGAGGAAGCCCCGGCUAACUACGUGCCAGCCGCGGC
rnacentral:rRNA from 1 species